CUUAAAGAUGUUGGGGCUGUUUUCCUAUGCUUGACACAUGUUUAUGUGGACAAAACGAAUGAAUGCACCCACUAAACAAGGCUCACUGGUUGUUGACACCACUUACAGGAAAUAUAAUAAUAUUCCUACCUAGGGAGGGAAAGCACCGAGCCAAUUGCGCCCGGUACACCUCCAUACUUCAAAAAUUAUCUCAAUACUCUAAAAUCUAUUUUUGCCGAAAUUUUCAUCGAUACCCUUUAAAAACGGAUAGGAAAUUACUAAGCUAUCCUCAUUUUAAAACAUUUCAACUCAACGGACAGCACCUCUCCCUUCUCUACUGAAGCAAAUAAACACUCAUCUGUUGCAAUUCCCUCCAUUAUCAAACUCAAACAAACAAACACUGCAAUUCCCUCACCGGCAUCACCUCUGCAAUUCCCUCAUCGGCAUCACCUCUACCGAAACAAAUAUUCAUUCUCCAUACAUGGUAAAUCGAACUUUAACACGAGCAAACUAAGUUUGAGAAGGGGAAGCAGCCACAACUGAGAAAGAGAAGCCUAGUUCGUCGCUACAUAAUCGCCGGCGAGAGCUGAUCCUUUACUGCAAAAUAGUCAUAAUUUAACUAGUUGAGGUAAGUAAUUCUCUAUAAAUAGUUUUCUUGUUGAUAUUCAGGGAAAAAAAAACAAAAAGUUAGGGUUUAUAUAGAAAAAAUAGAUUAAUUAGUUGCGGGUCUCUCAUUACAUGUUCAAAAACAAAUUUCUAGUUGUUUUACUACAUGCAAAUUGUGAACAAUUGAUGGAUUGUGCCGAUAAUAAUUUUGUCAUGUAACACACAAUUUGGUCGUGUAAGGUUAUGUAGGAUUCAAGGUUGUGUAUUACACGACCUUCAUGUAUUGCACUUACACGACUUCAUGUAUUACACGACGUUCAUGUAUUACAUGACCUUCAUAUAUUACACGACCUCAUGUAUUACACGACCUCAAAAUUACACGACUUUUUUCACUGUUGUUAAUUCAUUAUAAUAACUUAGUUGUUUAAAGACUUAAUUUUUGCUAAGAAUUUAUAUUUGUUGCUAUGCAGAAAAUGUCAACGAAAAGUAUUCAGGAAAAAAUGAAACGAGGCAAACCGAAAGUGAAAAUUACUAAUUUGUCAUCGUUGGAACCAAUAAGAAUAAUAAAAAAUAACCUUGGUGACGUACAAUUGGGGAUUUUUCGCAAAUCAUGUUUUGGGCACUUUUUGGACUUGAAUGAGUUUCAGUUUUGUGCCCAGUUGUUGCACAAGUUGGUAUUAAGGCAUAUGCCACUACUAGAAAAAUGAGUUUUACUGACACCAAUUUAGUGUCAGUAAUUACUUUUGCUGACACUUGUUAAUUGUGUCAGUAAUGCUCAAGCCAGAACACACUGACACUAAUUUUUAGUGUCAGUGAUUUUUGUGUCAGUAAUUCCUGUCACUAUAGUAUCACCAAAAUAAUGACAUCAUGGUGUUAAUAUUUAAUAAUACUAUUUAUAAGUCAGUAAUUUGUAUUACUAUAGUAUCAUUAAAAAAAUAACACAAUGAUUUAAUAUUUAAUAAUACUAUUUACAUGUCAGUGAUUUAUGUAUCAGUAUUUAGUGAUGUUAUGCUGCAUUUGGUUAAUAAUAUAUUUUUAUUUUAAUUAUAUUUUCCUCUUUGUUUUACAAUUAAAAAAAUAAAAAUUUAUUAAAUAAACUAAAUCUUGCAACACUAUUCACAUAAUAAACAUUGCAAAUACAUAACUUAAAUUAACAUAAUUCAACUACACCGCUGUUUGGUAAAGAAAAAAAAAGUACCAAAUUAAGUUUUGGACAUGUUUUAAAUAACAAAGUACAAAAUCAAGUUUCAAAAACAUUAACCAACAAGAAUAUGCUCGAUAAUGUCAUUGAAUACCCGUACGUGGCUUCAUUUUUUUCCCACCUACAAGUACAUUAAAUCAAUUAGUACACCACAAAAAAAUAAGUCUUGGAAUUUAAAAGCAAAAAUAAUCAUAAAUUAGUCAUACGUUACCUCAUGAUUACAAGUUGUAAUUAACUUGACAACAUACGUAGCCCAUUGAUCACGAAGUCGUGAGACCUCUUUCAUGGCGUAUUCAUCAAUUCUCUUGAACUUUAAUUAUAAAACAGCAAGUUAUUUACCAAAAAUCAAAUUGUAAACUACUUAAUUAUCAUUCAUUUAAUAUAUCCAUGUGAUAACAAUUCAAAACACUUUAUGCGCUUUAAAUGAGCUCCAACAAUAUUACUCUUUUAUCCAAAAUUAUACAGGAAGACAUUGAAUAUCUUGAAGACCAUGCUAAUUAAAAAAAAAGAUAUUUCAACGAGUGUUGAUCUACAUUAUUAUAUGAAUUACUAUUGUUUACUCAACUUAUAUAAUAAUCUUUGAAGCCGAAACAACUUGUGAACACCAACACUAACCACUUUAAUGCAAAUAUGGAUGUAGAUACAAAGCCUCAAUCCCUAUGCCUACUAUACAACUCCUCAUAUGA
rnacentral:lncRNA from 1 species